GUUCUUGGCUCAUUCUCUUUUUAGACCUGGUCAUGAUCUUGUUAUUCCUCCGGCUCUUGGACCUCCAGGAGGCGAUGUCUGGUUCGAUUGCCCUUACAUGCUCCGGCCCGGAGGAAGUACCUAAUCUCAUUUGAAGCCUAUUCUACUGUCUCCUCAUCCUACUCUUUUGAUUAUUCUGUGAUAGCCAAAUACUUGACAACAAAAACAUCUGACAAGUUCUUCUUUGCGUUCGGCUGUGAGCCUGGAGCACGCAAUUCAAAGAAGAAUACAACCUUUGUGGUAAUGAAACCACUCGAUCUGUGAUACUUAAAGACUCGACUUUUGCUCUCAUAACUCCUCCGGUGAAUUCUUCGUUUGUGUCAACGCCUUUGUUCC
rnacentral:lncRNA from 1 species